rnacentral:lncRNA from 1 species
CUGAUCUCUCGGUCUCUGCGUGUAACGUCCCCCCAUUCCUUCACCGUCUGCACAAAAAAGCUUUGGAUAAGAUUGGAUUUUAUUUGAUUUGAAUAUUGAAAGCAAAUUUCUGCGGUUCUGGCUAGAAAUUCAAUCAUCUUCGUUAGAUUCGUACGUCAUUUCAUGCGGGAGCAGAUGUGACCUGAAACAUCAACUUUUAAACAAACACGGGAAUGAACUCAAAUUAAAACCUCGCCGAUCGAAGAAAUAUUGAUGUGACGUGGCAAUAUAUAUUACUUGCUCUAGGAGCGCCAGCUAGAGCUGUACAUGUGGCAUCAAAAUCGAGGCAGUCAAUACUCAAUGCGUAUAGCAAGUGGCAGUUAGCAGCUUUGAUAAAGCUAGUAGUGGCAAAUUUGCUUCUUUGUUGACUCCUCUUUAUACCAGUCAGUAUAUAUGCCUGUAUAGGUGUCGGUCCCAAGCGCGACCAAGUCAUUUAUUUUUUCGCCGAACUUCCGUUCUUUGGCUGGC